CAGUCAAUACCGCAUACAUUCGGUACCGUCGAAGAGGAGGGUAACGUGCAAAGAGGGCAACUAACAACAAUACCCGCUUAGAUAGGACAAACAUCCUCUCCGGUUGUUGUUGUUGUUGUUGCUCGCUGCAACCAACAUCUGUGGCGAAAUGUGAAUGCAGCUUGUUUAUCAUAGAUGAAGAGGCACAUACAACAAAGUAAACGAAACUCUGCAAGUUAGGCGUUCGCGUUUCGUUUUGUCCUGCGCUCUGUUUUGUAUGUAGAAAGCGGCUUCCAGCAGGCGGAAGACAAACUGUUCCUGCUGCCACUGAAACGAGUAAACAAUGGAGCCGGGAUUUAAAAUGUUAAUCCAUUCAUUACAACGUAACAAAAGUGUUCAUCCUUUUAGGGUGACAACAGAAUAAUCGUGUGUCCUUUGCACACAGUAGGUGAGGAACCGAGCACCGAAAAGGAAUGAUUAUCUUAGAAAAGCUGCCGUUUGUUUUUUUUCUCUGUGGAAAGUUUAUUGUUAAUAGAAUAACCAAAAAAUCCUAAAAAUAAUUAUUCCUGACGUUGAUAAAUACUACAGAAGGGAAUGAAAUAUUUUCACAGUGCACAGCAUUAGGAUGCUACAAAUUGCUGCAAGCUAGUAGGCUAAACACCGUCCAGAGUAUGUCCCUUUUCAUUUCAACUUGUAUUUUACAACGGGUGACGCAUGUGAAAGUUUCCAUUCGUUUGCUAGCGCAUCCGCCAACCAAUUUGGCCUACCGAGUUGCAGUUGCAUGCGGGAUUUGUGGCAGUCACUUUGUGUUGAAUUCGGUCCGGUGAGCAUUUGUGUGCUGCAUUAGCUUCCGUACAGUUGCAAUAAUUACACUAAAUAAUGAGGAAACUAACUUUAUUGGACGGAACAGUAAACGCGAGCAGCAUCAUCAUUGCAAGUUAAAUUAUAGUUUUUAUGUUGACGGGUGCAGAUACAACUGUAUUUCGAUUCCCCUAUUAUUCAGCAGAACAGUUCUUGCCCGGAAAUAUGAAAAUUCAAUAUUUUAAACUCGUUAAAGGAGUUGGAGCAUCUUAGGUUUCAGUGAAACUCUACGAGUUUUGUACCAUCAGUAAAUUAGGUAACAUUGUAUAAUCAAAAUCAUGAGAAAAGUCGGGCGUGAUUUUGGAAAGAGCCUAUCUGAAAGCUGACAACAGCUAAAUCACCUGCCAAAUGAUUCGAGUAGAAUCCUUAUCAUCACCAUCUUCACCAGGUCAAUAAAUAAUUGAUUUUUAUGCCCCAUCACGAAAGGCACAAAUUAAAUUUCAAAAAAAGGUAACGAUUUGGGAAAGAAGCAAAAAUCGAAUUCCAACACGGGAUACAUUCGAGGACUCAAAGGAAUUUAAUUCAUCGAUGUCAGUAAAGAUUGCAACUUGCUACAACAGUACCGCCUUGGAUGCUGGUGCCACGGGACACACGUCACACCUACACGAAAAAGCAAUUAAUUAACCCAAUUAGUAUUCCACUGUCAGCUUCAAUCAGUAAUUAAUUUUCUCGUCGCCGGCUCUGCCGACACUCUGACGUCACGGUACCGAAUACGCGAGAGGCAUUGAAUUGCAGCUUUUUGCCAUGAUGACCGCAAGAGCGGUAUGCAGUUUUUUUUUGCUGCUAGGCUUCAAGUCCGCCUGGCCUGGCAUCUGGCAUUAUAUUUAGUCUAUGUGGAAUUCUAGGCAUGCAAUUUGUAGUGCCGCGGUUAUAGUGGCGCAAAAAGCGCAUUCGCAUAAAAAUUAAAAAUUCAUAAAAAUGUUCGCGAUCCAUUUUUUUAGGAGAUGGGAGAGAUAGUGAACCAUCUGGGAUACCAAAGGGUGUACCGAAAAUACGGUAACUUUUUAGUAUCAGAUGAAAUCCAAUUAUUGUAUUGAAGCUCAAAUUUCCUGUAAUAAAUUUACCAUAAGUAAACUCACCUGAACUGGAUUACUUUUAAACUAAAAA